GAUGAACGCUGGCGGCGUGCCUAAUACAUGCAAGUCGAGCGAACAGAUAAGGAGCUUGCUCCUUUGACGUUAGCGGCGGACGGGUGAGUAACACGUGGGUAACCUACCUAUAAGACUGGGAUAACUUCGGGAAACCGGAGCUAAUACCGGAUAAUAUUUCGAACCGCAUGGUUCGAUAGUGAAAGAUGGUUUUGCUAUCACUUAUAGAUGGACCCGCGCCGUAUUAGCUAGUUGGUAAGGUAACGGCUUACCAAGGCGACGAUACGUAGCCGACCUGAGAGGGUGAUCGGCCACACUGGAACUGAGACACGGUCCAGACUCCUACGGGAGGCAGCAGUAGGGAAUCUUCCGCAAUGGGCGAAAGCCUGACGGUGCAACGCCGCGUGAGUGAUGAAGGUCUUCGGAUCGUAAAACUCUGUUAUUAGGGAAGAACAUACGUGUAAGUAACUGUGCACGUCUUGACGGUACCUAAUCAGAAAGCCACGGCUAACUACGUG
rnacentral:rRNA from 1 species